AUGGGCAGCAUUCCUGCAAGAAGCGGCCUCGUCACCGCCUUUGAUGAGCUGCCACCCUUCCACCCACUCAACGACGAUGACGUACGAUCCUACCUCCACAAGGCCGUCGACUUCAUUUCCGACUACUACAAGUCCGUCGAGUCCAUGCCGGUGCUGCCCAGCGUCAAACCUGGCUACCUGCGGGACGAGCUCGGAGCGUCUCCGCCGGUGCACCCAGCCCCUUUCGACAUCGCCAUGAAAGAGCUCAGGGCAUCUGUGACCCACUCUACGUUCUUCAAGGCGUGUCGGCUGGCGGGCUUCGACCCUGCAAAUUUCCGCUCCAUUCCCACCGGGCCAGAGACUGACUACGGCGUCGACCCGGUGAAGCUACUCGCGGCCAUGCAGGCUGACGCCAUGGCCGGCCUCGUGCCCACCUACGUUUGCGCCACGGUUGGCACCACGUCCUCCAAUGCCGUCGACCCCAUAGGCGACGUCGCCAAAGUCGCGGCUAUGUUCAAUGUGUGGGUCCAUGUCGACGCCGCCUACGCCGACAGCGCGUGCAUUUGCCCGGAAUUUCGGCACCACCUCAACGGCGUCGAGCGCGUGGACUCCAUUAGCAUGAGCCCGCACAAGUGGCUGCUCACGUGCCUGGACUGCACCUGCCUCUACGUGCGUGAUGCGCGCCGCCUCAGCCAGUCGCUGAAGACUGACCCCGAGUACCUCAAGAACGAUGCCAGCGUGUCCGGCGACGUCACUGACCUCAAGGACAUGCAGGUUGGAGUCGGACGCCGCUUCCGUGGCCUCAAACUUUGGAUGGUCAUGCGCACCUACGGCACCGCCAAUCUCCAGGAGCACAUCCGCAGAGACGUCACCCUGGCCAAGAUGUUUGAGGACUUGGUCCAUGCUGAUGAUCGGUUCGAGAUCGUCGUGCCGAGAAACUUUGCUUUGGUCUGCUUCAGGAUCAAGACGACUGGAGUUAGGGCCGCCGACGAGGUGAACCGUUUGCUCAUGGCAAACGUGAACAAGACCGGCAAGGCGUACCUUACGCACACAGUGGUAGGUGGCAGGCUCGUGCUGCGCUUCGCUGUGGGAUCGUCACUUCAGGAGGAGAGGCACAUUUUGAGCGCUUGGGAGCUCAUUAGGAAGACGAGCAGUGAGAUGAUGAACUGA
rnacentral:rRNA from 1 species